UGUGGUUUAUAUGUGGCCGUGUGAGACUGAGUGUUAUCUGUAGUCGUUUUGUUGACUCCUAUUGUGCAAGGUGGUGCUUUCCACAAGCUGUACCAUCUCCAGUAACAGGCGGAACAGAUGUAGCAGUUUUGAGUCGAGUCCGAGGACGGCAGACCGAAGUCUAGGAUGGUCCCAUCCUCGUGCGCUGCCAUUCCUACCUGCGAGAACGGAUCAAGCAUAUCCAGGUGGCUGUUUAUGCUGACCCGUACCGUUCCUGUGUGUCUUCAUGUGGCACUUGAGGCUGGACUUCUGGUUGAAGCACCGUCCGCAGAUGUGGCAUCCGUAGGGCUUCUCGCCCGUGUGGAUGCGCAGGUGUCGCUCCAGGUGGCCGGCGCGCACAAACAUCUUACCGCAGUAUGAGCAGAAGAAACACUUCUUGGGCCGGGACCCCUGGCUUUGGAGGGAAGUCGAAGGUGCUGCAAGAGGCUUCAACGUGAGGCGGGAUAAGCUGCAUCACGCUCUCCUCAACAGGUUCCGACUUGAUCGUUGGCGUGCGGGACAAUUCCGGACGGUUGGUGGAAACACGCUCGGCUGUGGAAGUGAUGUCUCCCUCUGCUGGACGACGGCUGUCGGUGCUCGGAUGCUUUGAUGGGUACCCUUGGAUGUCAGCUGGUGCUGACUGAAGACCUGCAAGGAGAGAUCAAUAAAUGGAGAACAGAACCCAGCCAAGGGAGAAGAUUUCUGCAACAGUGUCCAUUUUCAUACAGCCACACGGCAUCCCACAAUCCGAAAAGUAGGGAUGGGCCAGUACCGAUACUAGGUAUCGAUAUCAGGCCUUAUUUCAAAGUAAUGGGUACUCAUUAGGGCUGCACGAUAUUGGAAGAAAAUUACAUGGUGAUUUUUUUUCAACCUGCGUGAAAUAAUACAGGAUCAGUGUUGGGAAAGUUCAUUUUCUAUGCGAACUAGUUCAAAGUUCAGUUUAUCGUUCCAAAAAUAAUAAUGACAUAAUAAAUAAAUAAUUCCAAAUUUUGAACUAA